rnacentral:rRNA from 1 species
AGAGUUUGAUCAUGGCUCAGAUUGAACGCUGGCUGCAUGCUUAACACAUGCAAGUCGAACGGUAACAGCAGAGCUUGCUCUGGCUGACGAGUGGCGGACGGGUGAGUAAUGCAUAGGAAUCUGCCUUGUGGCGGGGGACAACCUGGUGAAAACCAGGCUAAUACCGCAUAAGCCCUACGGGGGAAAGCGGGGGACCUUCGGGCCUCGCACCAUAAGAUGAGCCUAUGUCAGAUUAGCUAGUUGGUGAGGUAAUGGCUCACCAAGGCGACGAUCUGUAGCUGGUCUGAGAGGAUGAUCAGCCACACUGGGACUGAGACACGGCCCAGACUCCUACGGGAGGCAGCAGUGGGGAAUAUUGGACAAUGGGCGCAAGCCUGAUCCAGCAACGCCGCGUGUGCGAUGAAGGCCCUCGGGUCGUAAAGCACUUUUCUGAAGGAAGAGAAAGGACGGUACUUCAGGAAUAAGUCUCGGCUAACUACGUGCCAGCAGCCGCGGUAACACGUAGGAGGCAAACGUUAUCCGGAUUUACUGGGCGUAAAGCGUGUGCAGGCGGUUCGGUAAGUUGGAUGUGAAAUCUCUUGGCUCAACCGAGAGAGGUCGUUCAAGACUGCCGAACUAGAGGACGGUAGAGGAAAGUGGAAUUCCCGGUGUAGUGGUGAAAUGCGUAGAUAUCGGGAGGAACACCAGUGGCGAAGGCGACGCACUGGGACGAUACUGACGCUCAGGCACGAAAGCGUGGGUAGCGAACAGGAUUAGAUACCCUGGUAGUCCACGCCGUAAACGAUGAUCACUCGUUGUUGGAAGGCAAUACACAGUCAGUGACCAAGCGAAAGCGAUAAGUGAUCCACCUGGGGAGUACGAUCGCAAGUUUGAAACUCAAAGGAAUUGACGGGGGCCCGCACAAGCGGUGGAGCAUGUGGUUUAAUUCGAUGAUACGCGAGGAACCUUACCUGGGCUCAAAUGUAAGUUGACAGUUUCUGAAAGGGAAUUUUCUUCGGACAAUUUACAAGGUGCUGCAUGGUUGUCGUCAGCUCGUGCCGUGAGGUGUCGGGUUAAGUCCCAUAACGAGCGCAACCCCUACUCUUAGUUGCCAGCAUGUAAUGAUGGGGACUCUAGGAGAACUGCCUACGCAAGUAGAGAGGAAGGUGGGGAUGACGUCAAAUCAGCACGGCCCUUACGUCCAGGGCUACACACGUGCUACAAUGGCCGGUACAGAGGGCAGCCACCUGGUGACAGGGAGCGAAUCUCUAAAGCCGGUCUCAGUUCGGAUCGAAGUCUGCAACCCGACUUCGUGAAGCUGGAAUCGCUAGUAAUCGCGCAUCAGCCAUGGCGCGGUGAAUACGUUCCCGGGCCUUGUACACACCGCCCGUCAAGCCAUGGAAGCUGGGGGUACCUGAAGUCAGUGACCAUUUAGGAGCUGCCUAGGGUAAAACUAGUGACUGGGGCUAAGUCGUAACAAGGUAACC